rnacentral:rRNA from 1 species
AUGCGCUCCUUCCUCCCUCUCUUCGUCAGGCCUGACCCGGCCGUCAUCAUCGCCUCUGAGACGGCUUGCGUGCUGGAGGCACGCGGGGCCCAUGUCGUCAUGACCGUCCGCAACCUCGCUGCGGCAGAGGCAGCGCGCCAUGCCGUCCUUGCCGAGAACCCCGCCGCCAACCUCGACCUGAUGGAGCUGGACCUCCCUGGACUCCACCUCCCUGGCCUCCGUCCGCAACUUCGCCGCGCCCACAGGGGCCUCCCACUCAACAUCCUCAUGAUGUUGCGCUUGCUACUCACAUGUUUUCUGAUGCCGCAACAAAGGACUAUAUGUGGUUUCUUCAGUGGGGCUGUCUUUGUCGCUCCUCAUGUUCAAUAA